UUCGGAAUGAGUACGAUUCGGAACCACCUAACGAGGAACGAUCGGAGGGCAAGUCUGGUGCCAGCAGCCGCGGUAAUUCCAGCUCCAAUAGCGUACGUUAAAGUUGCUGCAGUUAAAAAGCUCGUAGUUGAACGUUCGGGUUCCGCGGGACGGGGCCGCCCCGCGAGGGACGGCGCCGCCCCGGGGCUCGUGAUAUCUCAUCUCGCCGCCCGUCGCGAGGCGGACGGAGGGAUGGAUGAGGUUACCUGGAAAAAAUCGGGGCGAUCUAGGCGGGCGAACCUCGCCAACGAACGAUCGGACAUGGGAUAACGGAAGAGGGCGUCGGCUCGGACUUCGUCGGUUCCUCGGGGCCGAGGCACGUACGGUGAAUAGGGACGGUCGGGGCCGCCCGUACCGGGUCGUGAGAGGUGAAAUUCUAGGAUCGACCCGAGACGAACCGCCGCGAAGCAUUCGGCAAGGACGCUUUCAUUAAUCAAGAACGAAAGUCGGGGGAUCGAAGACGAUCAGAUACCGUCGUAGUCCCGACCGU
rnacentral:rRNA from 1 species